rnacentral:misc_RNA from 1 species
GUGAAUCAUCGAAUUUUUGAACGCAAAUUGCGCUUUCUGGCAUCCCGGGGAGUAUGCCUGUUUGAGGGUCAGUUUUAAUAACAAAUCGGUUUAGUUACAAAUUGUGACGUUUUCGGCUUCUGGGCUAUCUUAACCUAUUUGGUUAAGAGGCUUAACAUUGACCUUUUUUGCGCAUUUUUAAACGUACAUAAAUUUUUAUUAUUCGUCUAUUCUUAAUGCCACAUUC